rnacentral:rRNA from 1 species
AUACGUAGGGAGCGAGCGUUGUCCGGAAUUACUGGGUGUAAAGGGAGCGUAGGCGGGAGUGCAAGUCAGAUGUGAAAUACAUGGGCUCAACCCAUGGGCUGCAUUUGAAACUGCAUUUCUUGAGUGAAGUAGAGGUAAGCGGAAUUCCUGGUGUAGCGGUGAAAUGCGUAGAUAUCAGGAGGAACACCGGUGGCGAAGGCGGCUUACUGGGCAUUUGCUGACGAUGGGGCUCCAAAGCGUGGGGAGCAAACAGGAUUAGAGACCCUGGUGGUCCACGCUGUAAACGAUGAUUACUAGGUGUGUGGGGAAUGACCCCUUCCGUGCCGCAGUUAACACAAUAAGUAAUCCACCUGGGGAGUACGGCCGCAAGGUUGAAACUCAAAGGAAUUGACGGGG